CACAGAUCGGGUUUGGUGUCAGUCGUCAGAAGCUGAAUUGUUUGAAUAGUCUGAGUGAUCAGAAGAUCUCCUCCCUCUGGGUCCUUCCAGCACUGGUAUGUUGGCACGUCACGUGUUUGUGUAGCACUCGAUGAAAGGAGGAAGAAAACAGCAGCAGGAGCAGGAGGGGGCGGGCACUAACACCUCAAACCCGCCCAUGACGUCACAUCAUGUCAUGUCACAUCUAACUCCAGUGAGGACGCACGAGGAGCAGGUGGAACAAGUUGGGCAACAUUCCUUCAGUCAUCCUCCCUGUGGCGUUCUUCAAAAUCUGUGUCACUCGCUCUGUGCAGAUGCAGUGACUGAGUGUGUGUCUACGGAGCAGAACAUGGACUUCACCCAGUCUUUCACGGUCCUCAAUGAGCGACUGAAGCCCCGCUCGUCCACCAGCGAGCAGCUCCACCUGUCUCUGAACCGACUGGAGGACAGAGAGUCGGCCUCGCUGAGGAGGAAACCUCUGACCAACCGACCCACGGUUCUGUCCUCUCGGACCAACGAAGACCUCAGUGAUCUUGGUUCUGACGACGUGGACGAAGAUUACGUCAGUAAUUACCUGCCCUUCACCACCUGCUUGCUGUCUGAGUUGAAUUUAAAGGACUUUAGUGAUGAUAACAGUUCUACGAAGUCCGAGGAGAUCGAUGGCGCGGGCGUGUCCUCUGACGGGGACUCGGUCACACAGACCCCUGGAGGUGGGAGCCCCUUCCAGAGGGACAUCAACGAAGGGUUGCCAGACCUGUUGAAGAGUGGAAGGCCGCUCACCAGACGCAGAACGGUUGGCCAUGUUUCAGACACGCUCAAAGAGGUAAAAAAAGAAGUGGAACUGACCCGGAAACGAAGUGUCAAGCUCAAAGCUCGUUUGGACAAACUGCGAGGGAAAACAGACGAACAAAAAUGGGACAAAGAGCGGGUCACAGAUGAGGUUUUGUCUGUGUUGAGGCUGCUCUACCCACUGCUGGAGCCCCAGGAAACCCUCAUUGAGCCCCUGGAGGGAGAAAAGCGUCUGGAUGGAGCCCUGGAGCAGCUGCAGAAGCUGUCUCGGAGGCUGGCAGUGAGUCGCAUUGCUAAACAGGACUUCAGCUCUGGAGGAAAGCCCUCAGAGGACAGUGCCAUCCUAAAGCAGGCGCUACGAGACAGAGACGAGGCCAUAGAGAAGAAACAAGCCAUGGAGGCCGAACUGCUCCGAAGCAGGACGGAGAUGAUGCUGCUCAACAACCAAGUGCUAGAGGCCGCACAGAAACGCCUGGAGAUGUCGCUGGAGGUCGAGGCGUGGAAGGAGGAUUUCCAGCUCCUGCUCCACCAGCAGGUCCAGAACCAGCAGCUGGCCGAGCAGGCCCAGAAGAAGACCUCUCGUCUGGGCAUCCUGAGGAGAAACAACAGAGCACCCAUCCAGCGUCCAUCCAACUUCCCUAUAAACUCCCCUCCAGCCCAGUCUACAGCCGGGCCCAGCCAGGCCUCCAGUACCAGAGCCGCAGCGCUGGCUGCUGCUGGGCCUCCUUCUCCCAAACCGCCUCAGCGCCACUGGAUGGAUAGGCUAAGACGGCCCAAGUCCAGUCGUACUGUAGACCAGGAGACAUCAGGUCAGGAUUAUGACUCAAGGAGGGAUGAAGGUUUCCAGGACAUAUCGCUCAACUGAGAGUUAAACUCCAGCUGUAAUACGUUAAAACCUAACGUCAAACGUGACAUCAACACAACACGUUACAACUCAGCCUCAGGUCUUAAAGUGUCUAAAACAUGCUUUGUGACGCAUUCGUAGAAUCAUAAAUAUUGAAUGCAGAUGAGUUGGUGACGCUCCAAAGCCCAAAAAUCCUCAGUGACAUUUGAAGCUCCAAUCAAAGCAGCAUAUUUUCCUUUACAUGAGUCAGUUGAGUGACAGGUAUGUAUCCUUCUGUUUGCUUGUAUAUUUGUAGGCUAGGCAACAAAAAAUAUCCACCUGCUCAAAUUACAAACAAUUACUCAGCGUAUAACUAACGUUAAAUGUGAAAAGUAAUUACUCGUGCCUGUCCUUAAAAUAAGAGCCAUGUGAUUUCUACCAGCUGAUCAGUAUUUAGAGAGAAAAUUGAUCAAAAUCAGCAAGAGUUUAUAAAGUCUAUAAUGCUUAUUUAGAGUUUUUGGCGUUUGAUACACAUUGGAUAUGAGUUCAGCAGUCGUUAUUUAUUUUACAAAUGAACAUUUUAAAUCUUCAUGAAAUAACUUCAUAAAUUUGUGCUUUCAUAUCCACUACUACCUAAAACACAUGUAACACAUACAGUAUACAUAUUUAUGACCAGAUUGCUUAACUCUUCUUAUCUUUGGACUUGCAGAUGGUGACAUUUAUCUUCUGGCCUUUCAAAAUAAAAGUUCCUGAUUUUAAACUUUACA
rnacentral:lncRNA from 1 species